AGGAUGUUUUUGGUAAGUGUAAGUAACUACUUUUCCAACCAUGAUAGUUAAAGGCACUGCUUAAAAGAACCUUGGCCUCCUUCUAGAAGCUUGAGCUUCAAUGGAGGAUUCUGGACGACAUACGAGACAUUGAAUAAAUGUGCUGCAUAUUGUUUGUACUCUGCAAGCAACAAUCUUCAGUCCUAAUAUAAGGAUGAGUGUAUCUGUCGUUUAUGAUGCUUAAUCUGUGGUACAUUGUUUGUGAUAUGUUUUUAUUUUUCUGUUGUACAUUGUCAUUUGGGGUAUGCUUCAUUUGUUGUACAUUGUUGUUUGGGAUAUGCUUAGAUGGUUGUACGUUUGCUGUUUUUGAUG